CCUAGGCAAACCCACACACUGGGUUCAAUUCUAUCUUACUUUACC
rnacentral:sRNA from 1 species